ACUCGAACAGGGAACGGCGCUCUGAACACUGGGAGAGCGGCGACGGUGAAACCCGGAGACGUGGGACGCAUUGGGCUCGGGCAGCGCUGCCGUGUGACGCAGGAGAAAGUGCAGGGCACGCCAAUUACGGGGCUUAGGGAGCCAAUCUGUGUGUCCUCGCAUGCAGACACGCCUGCACGAGAAAGACGUCAGAGCACCCAGCGUGAGACACCAAGACGGAGUCGGGUGUGGAAGAUUGAUUUUUUUUGUCUUCUUGCGAAAUUGCUUACCGUUUGAAAGCGUCACCCAGACAAGACAUACCCCCCCCCUCCAACCCACACCCCGCGCCUUUUUCUGAAACAGUAAACAGGGACACAAGGACACAGAGUGUGAAGGAGAGGCAAGAGGUUGUUGGCCCUGUGGGAGGAUUUGCCGUCAAAAAUAUUUAGCAGUCAGGAAUGAAUCGGAACAGAUAAUGGAUGUUUUGGAAUCUGCACACCCUAUGGAGUGCGUUCUCCCCUUUAUCUGAUGCAACCUUGGGUAGCUUGGCUUUAUCAGUGCUGGGCCUGCUUGCCUUAGUGCUGCCACGGCGCACGCGCACACUCACGCACACGCGCUGCCGGAACUGUUUGGCUGCAGUGCCCACUAGUGGCCGAAGCGGGAAACUGCAACCCUCCCCCACCCCCAAAGCAGCCAGCAGAGCAGCUCCGAUGCCCUGGGCGAGCAGCUCUGACAUUCCUGAUGUUUUCCCAGUGAUUCGCGGGAGCUGGCUUUGCUGAGGGAAGCAGGGGGUGGCGGACGCACCGAGAAGAAGGGAAAGGAAGCAUCAGGAGGGAGAGAAAGGCGCGGCACGACCGGGGCAGAUGAACGCUGCCAGCAGGGCGGCGGUAUACGACGUGGUGCUCACCCAGGAACGGGCCGGGGGAAGGGGGGAUGCUGGCAUUUAAAGACUCAGCAGGGUCUGUGAGGGUGGAGCUGGAAUAUCCGUCUGUAUAAAUCGGCAAGAGCGGGCGGCUUUGAUGUGAGAGCUUCUGCUAAGCGCCUAAAUAGUGCAUUGUAAUGAAGCGCCAUGAGAAAUCGCGGGCUUUAAUCGGGCCGAUGGAUCAGCCCCUUAUCCCAGGAGCGAUCUCGCGUACGGAACUGGCAGCGGAGGGGAGAGACGGGGAGUGAGCUGAAUCAGGAAGCGUGGGAAAGGCAUCAUCAGCCCCCCCCACCUCCGAAGUCUGCCUGCCAGUCACAGUCCGCCGUGACCAAAGCCACUACCCAGCAUUCCCCAGGCAUCUGGCAAGUGCCCACUUCUUUUGUCCACCCUCAGCUCAGGUGUAGGUCGUCCCCCCCCCCCACAGCUGCCCCGAGAGGGAAGCUGGGGCUAGUAUCUUGAACAUGUGGGAGUAUCAUGAUGACACGUUUCCAUCACCGUGGUAACAACCACUCUGUAACGCGGCCCAACAUUAUUGAGCCUCCUCUGUCGACUGUCACAUUCUUCAAAGUGUCUGGAAGCGAACACAUCCAACCACAUGUGCCAGACAAAAGGUUGGGGGUUUGAAACCAAAUGGGCAGAACCAGGGCAUGGUCUAAACCCACUUGAAGGAGUACGCCACUGACUCUGAUACUGAUGUGGUACGAGAGACUCAAAAUGAAUGAAUUACCAGGUAUUCAAACCCCUGUAUAUCAGCGGUUGCUCUGUGAGUUGCGAUGCUAUGGUUGUGGUCAGAAGGUCGCUAGUUCAAAUCCCAUGGUUGGCAAAGUGGUUUUACCAUUGGGCACUUCAGGAAGACCCUUAAGCCCCAUUUACUUUGGGGACGGCUUGGCCCCACUUUCUCAGUUAUAUGUCACUCUGGGUAAAAGCGCUUGGUAAAUAAAUUAACAUUUCCUACGUGUAGGGGCUGACGUCGGUCUGUACGUGGGUGUCUGGCAUGGUGAUGGCCCGGAGUUCCAGUAACACGUGCCAUUAAACAUUUAAAUUAAGUUACCUGGAAUUGCCAAGUCUUGCAGCAGAAAGAAACAAACAACUUUGGUUUAUCACUCCGCAUUGUUUUGCGUGAUGUGCGUUUCAAUUAUUUCAAUUAGUUGCGUCAGUGUCUCGCAGACUCGGGACUGCGGCGUGGCGACUUUUCCUGUGCUAAUGCACUGACACAUUCUGCCAGUAUCCAAGGCGUGCUCAGUGGGCUAAACUAAAAAAGUAUUAGGACAGAUAACGCUAAAAUACAUACACCCCUUCAUUUGUAAUACACAACAAUCCAUUAUUUCCUUCGAUUUGUAUCCAGUUCCUCAUAGCACCUUCCUUCUGGUGCAUCCCGCCUGUUGUCAUGCAUAUUUUCUUGUAUGUAAUAUUUUCUACUCCUUGGUGAGGCCUUGCGUGGUCACAUGAUUAAAAGUUGCCGUGUCAUGCUGUGCCGUGUCAUGCUGCGCUCGGUUUGCCUUUUCUCUUUCCUUUUCCAUUUCCCACUGAAACCUGAAUCUGUUAUUUUAUCUUUGACCUUCUGUUGCCUCAU